rnacentral:rRNA from 1 species
GUGGGGAAUAUUGGACAAUGGGCGAAAGCCUGAUCCAGCCAUGCCGCGUGUGUGAAGAAGGUCUUCGGAUUGUAAAGCACUUUAAGUUGGGAGGAAGGGCAGUAAGUUAAUACCUUGCUGUUUUGACGUUACCGACAGAAUAAGCACCGGCUAACUUCGUGCCAGCAGCCGCGGUAAUACGAAGGGUGCAAGCGUUAAUCGGAAUUACUGGGCGUAAAGCGCGCGUAGGUGGUUUUGUAAGUUGGAGGUGAAAUCCCCGGGCUCAACCUGGGAACUGCCUCCAAAACUGCAUGACUAGAGUACGGUAGAGGGUAGUGGAAGUUCCUGUGUAGCGGUGAAAUGCGUAGAUAUAGGAAGGAACACCAGUGGCGAAGGCGACUACCUGGACUGAUACUGACACUGAGGUGCGAAAGCGUGGGGAGCAAACAGGAUUAGAUACCCUAGUAGUCC